UUUGGCUAGAUGUAAGCUCAUGGAUAACAGAGCCCUUAAUUGAUAAAGCGGCUGAGGGUAGAGCAGUGGUGUCAGUCAGGAGGCAUAGGUCAAGGAGCACAUCCUGUAGAAGAGAAGAGAAAAUUUGACCUUGUUUUUGAAGUGCCAGUGAAUAUUCAUUGAUGAAGAAAGGAGAAGGAAUAUUUCAGGCAGUGGAGCUGGCAUGCAGCUAAAAACAGAAAUGCUUGUGAGGCUACAUAAAUCAUGCUGAUUGGAGUUUGGAAAUAGAUUUACUUGGCCAGAGGUAGAUUUGUACAGGAAAGCAAGAAAGGAUGGAGUUGA
rnacentral:lncRNA from 1 species